GGUUGAUCCUGCCAGUAGUCAUAUGCUUGUCUCAAAGACUAAGCCAUGCAUGUCUAAGUAUCAUCCGAAACUGCGAAUGGCUCAUUAAAACAGUUAUAGUUUACUUGAUAUUGCAUUUUACAUGGAUAACCGUAGUAAUUCUAGAGCUAAUACAUGCGUAACGCCAAACUUCUGGAAUGGCAGUAUUUAUUAGAUAACAAAUCAAUAUUCCUCUGGUCUAUUUGAUGAUUCAUAAUAACUAGCUUAUCGAAUCGCUGGGUUGUACCCGCGAUAAAUCAAUCAAGUUUCUGCC
rnacentral:rRNA from 1 species